rnacentral:rRNA from 1 species
UACGUAGGGUGCGAGCGUUGUCCGGAAUUAUUGGGCGUAAAGGGCUCGUAGGCGGUUUGUCGCGUCGGGAGUGAAAACCCAGGGCUUAACCCUGGGCUGGCUUCCGAUACGGGCAGACUAGAGGUAUGCAGGGGAGAACGGAAUUCCUGGUGUAGCGGUGAAAUGCGCAGAUAUCGGGAGGAACACCUAUGGCGAAGGCAGCUCGCUGGGACGUUACUGACGCUGAGACGCGAAAGCGUGGGGAGCAAACAGG